GUCCAGCCAUUUUCAACAGAGGUGCUUGAAAUUCUAUCUCUUUCCUGGUUCCUCUUUGAAACUAAAGCAAACUCCUGUUAAAAUUGCAAAUCAAUAGCAUGAAUACUUUGCGAAGCUCCAAAAUUUUCACAGCCGACCAAUCAAGAAAGAUGAAAGCUUUCGAAUUUUACACUGAUUGCAAGUUGCCUGAGAAAAUGUUCUGCCAUUACCAUUCGUACUAGAAUCCCAUGAGGCUGACUUGAAAUAAAUCAAAUCAUCAUUUUGCCGUUGGAGAAUAUGAAGUAACAGUACAACCGAUCCAACAUUCUCCAUUCAAAGGUUCUUGCAACUGACAGCACAAGACUUGCAAAAGACAGUAAUUCACAAAGACAUAAACUGUUGCAAAAAGACAAGAUGAGAAUAGAAUAUCAAACAUUCGUUUCACAAAUAGAUUCUGAUUCCUCACACACUCUUAUGUAUGAAGUCACUGGAUAAUCUUAAUGAAGCUUCUGAAAGGCUCAAAGUCUGCCCAAUCUCUUCUUGCACAAAUAUCAUAUUUCAUAACAAAGUACCGAAUGAAAAAAGGAGAAAAAAGUCCAUCCAAGGACAAGAUAGUGCAUCCUCGUAUCCAUUGUUUUGUUUGAACUGCCUAUUCUUGGCAUAAAUUCUGAUCCAGAGUGGUAAAUGUAAGAUGCUUAAAAGUGUGAAUAAAAUCAAACCUUUCGGUGCUAAGCAUAAUAGAAUGACCAGA
rnacentral:lncRNA from 1 species